rnacentral:misc_RNA from 1 species
AACCUAGCACACCUGCGGUGUGUACCUGCGGAGGGAUCAUUAUCGAGUUACCACUCUAUAACCCUUUGUGAACAUACCUACAUGUUGCUUCGGCGGUCGGCCCCCCGGGCCCCCGGCCCCGCUCACGCGGGGCGUCCGCCGGAGGAUAACCAAACUCUGAUUUAACGACGUUUCUUCUGAGUGGCACAAGCAAAUAAUCAAAACUUUCAGCAACGGAUCU